GCUAUGUACAGAUGGGCUAUGUACAGAUGGGCUAUGUACAGAUGGGCUAUGUACAGAUGGGCUAUGUACAGAUGGGCUAUGUACAGAUGGGCUAUGUACAGGUGGGCAGUGUACAGAUGGGCUAUGUACAGAUGGGCUGUGUACAGAUGGGCUAUGUACAGAUGGGCUAUGUACAGAUGGGCUGUGUACAGAUGGGCUGUGGAUUGUCUGUGUACAGAUGGGCUGUGUACAGAUUGGCUGUGUACAGAUGGGCUAUGUACAGAUGGGCUAUGUACAGAUGGGGUAGGUAUAGAUGGGCUGUUUACAAAUGGGCUAUGUACAGAUGGGCUGUGUACAGAUGGGCUGUGUACAGAUGGGAGGUGUACAGAUGGGAGGUGUACAGAUGGG
ensembl:lncRNA